GAUGAACGCUGGCGGCGUGCCUAAUACAUGCAAGUCGAGCGAACGGACGAGAAGCUUGCUUCUCUGAUGUUAGCGGCGGACGGGUGAGUAACACGUGGAUAACCUACCUAUAAGACUGGGAUAACUUCGGGAAACCGGAGCUAAUACCGGAUAAUAUUUUGAACCGCAUGGUUCAAAAGUGAAAGACGGUCUUGCUGUCACUUAUAGAUGGAUCCGCGCUGCAUUAGCUAGUUGGUAAGGUAACGGCUUACCAAGGCAACGAUGCAUAGCCGACCUGAGAGGGUGAUCGGCCACACUGGAACUGAGACACGGUCCAGACUCCUACGGGAGGCAGCAGUAGGGAAUCUUCCGCAAUGGGCGAAAGCCUGACGGAGCAACGCCGCGUGAGUGAUGAAGGUCUUCGGAUCGUAAAACUCUGUUGUUAGGGAAGAACAUAUGUGUAAGUAACUGUGCACAUCUUGACGGUACCUAAUCAGAAAGCCACGGCUAACUACGUGCCAGCAGCCGCGGUAAUACGUAGGUGGCAAGCGUUAUCCGGAAUUAUUGGGCGUAAAGCGCGCGUAGGCGGUUUUUUAAGUCUGAUGUGAAAGCCCACGGCUCAACCGUGGAGGGUCAUUGGAAACUGGAAAACUUGAGUGCAGAAGAGGAAAGUGGAAUUCCAUGUGUAGCGGUGAAAUGCGCAGAGAUAUGGAGGAACACCAGUGGCGAAGGCGACUUUCUGGUCUGUAACUGACGCUGAUGUGCGAAAGCGUGGGGAUCAAACAGGAUUAGAUACCCUGGUAGUCCACGCCGUAAACGAUGAGUGCUAAGUGUUAGGGGGUUUCCGCCCCUUAGUGCUGCAGCUAACGCAUUAAGCACUCCGCCUGGGGAGUACGACCGCAAGGUUGAAACUCAAAGGAAUUGACGGGGACCCGCACAAGCGGUGGAGCAUGUGGUUUAAUUCGAAGCAACGCGAAGAACCUUACCAAAUCUUGACAUCCUUUGACAACUCUAGAGAUAGAGCUUUCCCCUUCGGGGGACAAAGUGACAGGUGGUGCAUGGUUGUCGUCAGCUCGUGUCGUGAGAUGUUGGGUUAAGUCCCGCAACGAGCGCAACCCUUAAGCUUAGUUGCCAUCAUUAAGUUGGGCACUCUAAGUUGACUGCCGGUGACAAACCGGAGGAAGGUGGGGAUGACGUCAAAUCAUCAUGCCCCUUAUGAUUUGGGCUACACACGUGCUACAAUGGACAAUACAAAGGGCAGCGAAACCGCGAGGUCAAGCAAAUCCCAUAAAGUUGUUCUCAGUUCGGAUUGUAGUCUGCAACUCGACUACAUGAAGCUGGAAUCGCUAGUAAUCGUAGAUCAGCAUGCUACGGUGAAUACGUUCCCGGGUCU
rnacentral:rRNA from 1 species